AACGAACGCUUUCUUCCUUCCUAACACAUGCAAGUCGAACGAGACCUUCGGGUCUAGUGGCGCACGGGUGCGUAACGCGUGGGAACCUGCCCUUAGGUUCGGAAUAACUCCCCGAAAGGGGUGCUAAUACCGGAUAAUGUCUUCGGACCAAAGAUUUAUCGCCUUUGGAUGGGCCCGCGUUGGAUUAGCUAGUUGGAAGGGUAAAAGCCUACCAAGGCGACGAUCCAUAGCUGGUCUGAGAGGAUGAUCAGCCACACUGGGACUGAGACACGGCCCAGACUCCUACGGGAGGCAGCAGUGGGGAAUAUUGGACAAUGGGCGAAAGCCUGAUCCAGCAAUGCCGCGUGAGUGAUGAAGGCCUUAGGGUUGUAAAGCUCUUUUACCCGGGAUGAUAAUGACAGUACCGGGAGAAUAAGCUCCGGCUAACUCCGUG
rnacentral:rRNA from 1 species